rnacentral:tRNA from 2 species
AGGGCUUCAAAUCCGUCGGGGCCGAGCGC